CUGUCCUGAUGUCUACAAUUAAAUUUUUCGUUUCUGCGGGAACUAGAUUUUGUCAAGUAAAAUUACAUGUAUGUACACAAUUUAUUUAUGUAUUUAAAAUGGCUGUGUGGAAGGAGUAAGUCUUAUUAUGGAUGUUUUCAUAACAUUUAAAUGUUUUUUAGUCUCUGCUAGAAACACUAAAAUACUGAGUAAAUUUUACGACACUAUUUUAGAGUGCGUUUGAAUCAGCGCAUGCGCAUUGGGACAAACGAAAGUACCGCGCAGAUGUCCAUUGUCCGUCCGUUCGUUGGCAGCAGACAGAGUUGUGAAUAUCUCCGGAAUCUCUCAGGCGACUGUUUUUGUAUUUAGCCGGCUGGGACAUGAGGUGACCAGAGAGAGUCAGGAGCGCUGGGCUGUUCAGUGACUAAUCAAAUACUGCACCGUUGUGAUUAGGCAAGUACAAAUACACUGCAUGUAUGCAUGACACAAUAUUGCUGUUUUUAUUGUUCAUCCAUUCCAUCUACAGAUCAAGGAGGAGUUUUGGAGAAUAACUACAAUUUCUCUAGAGCAAAGCUUCAUGUACAAACUAGACCACUAUACACCAAAGCUUACUGCCCUGAUGAAAGCCAAGGGAGGUGUUGGAGGCAGGCUGAGGCCCCAUCUGGAUAAACUGAGUCAGAACCCGAGCACUGACAUGUGACGUGACGCAGUUAUCAGUGGCCUCAUACUAUUCCUUGGUGAAAAAGAAGAGAAACUUUUCGAAGAUUGCCUGGAGGACAAUCGCAGUGAUGCCACUCAACACAUAGUCAAGAUCCUGGUUGUCCAUGGUACUGAUGGAGAAGAACCAGUAGAUGUUUCCAUCAUUCUUGAAGGGAAGGAGGUAUUGACACGAUGCAACAGCACAGCCAAAGCUUGCACGUUGCUAAUGGGACUGAUUUAUUCCCUGAACCUUGCCUACCCCUGGACUCUGCGCUACACCUUUGAGGUGUUUCAAAAACUUUUCCUGGAACUGAAUGGGAUAAAGCUGUCACCAAAAGUACAUCUUUAAAGUUGAAGUUGCUGUCUGAAAGGAGUUUUCUUUCUUAAAUGUUCCUAAUGUUGUCAACAAAGGCAACUGCUGUCAUUCAUGCUCACAAGGUAAAAAAAAAGUUAAAAAUAACCUUUGUUUUAAAGGUUUUAACAGAGGAUUUGAUGUUGUCCUCAAACUUUAAUGUUUUAACCGAAUGCUAAUAUAAAUAUGUUAAUGGAUGUUGCGGUUUAGAAUGUUGUUCAUGUCAGUACAGCAUAUUUUGUCAGGUCAAACCCUCAAUCUGUUUUGUCACCUGAUGUGCCCUGUUUAGUUUAAUGCGUCCAGGAGUCAAAAACAUUUUGAUUUUCCAGUGAUAUGCUUUUUUUCUGUAUAGCGUAAUGAUCACUCAGUAAAGGUAAACUUUUUUCUUUAUUGAUGCUUGAUUGAUGCUUUAUUGAUUUACUGCUGCUGAGAUUUCAUUUAAUUUUUUGUCAUGUGAAAUGUUGACUGCUGUUUCAUGUACAGUUCUACAUAGCUGUAUAAAAUGAGGUGUUACGUAAGGUACCUGACAAAGGUUUAUGAAUAAAUAAUGGAAUUGUA